rnacentral:lncRNA from 1 species
CAGCGGGCUUGGAGCCCUGCCCGGAGCCCUGGCGCCGCCGUCGCUGGGCUGCCGGGGCCGCUACCAGCUGCUGCUUUCGGGGAAGGCCCUGGCCGACAGAUACCGGAAGAUUUACACGGCGGCGCUGAGCGACAGGGAGCUGGGGAGUCACCCGGGCAGGAGUAAGAAACUUUUUAGCAAGAAAAAAUUGAAAAGGAAACAGAAGACUAAAUUAAAAGUAAAAACACGCAACAAGCUGUUCUCUCAAGCACAAAAAGCUCCACCAUCCAAGACAGAAGAUGACAAACAUGUUUUAUUGUGUACUUCAAUCCAAGAAGGUAGACUUUUGAUUUGUGGUGAUAUGAAGUGAAAUAACAAAGAUAAAGAUUUCAGAAUGUCACAGAAUCACAGAAUUGCUGAGGUUGGAAGGGACCUCUGGAGAUCAUCUAGUCCAACCCCCCUGCUCAAGCAGGGUCACCUAGAGCACAUUGCACAGGAUCGCAUCCAGGCAGGUUUU